CAGUCGCCGCGGUAAUACGUAGGUCCCGAGCGUUGUCCGGAUUUAUUGGGCGUAAAGGGAGCGCAAGCGGUUUAGUAAGUCUGAAGUUAAAGGCAUUGGCUCAACCAAUGUAUGCUUUGGAAACUGUCAGACUUGAGUGCAGAAGGGGAGAGUGGAAUUCCAUGUGUAGCGGUGAAGUGCGUAGAUAUAUGGAGGAACACCGGUGGCGAAAGCGGCUCUCUGGUCUGUCACUGACGCUGAGGCUCGAAAGCGUGGGUAGCGAACAGGAUUAGAUACCCGCGUAGUCCCUGUCUCUUAUACA
rnacentral:rRNA from 1 species